UACGGAGGGCGCAAGCGUUAUCCGGAUUCACUGGGUUUAAAGGGUGCGUAGGCGGGCAUGUAAGUCCGUGGUGAAAUCUCCGAGCUUAACUCGGAAACUGCCAUGGAUACUAUGUGUCUUGAAUGUUGUGGAGGUGAGCGGAAUAUGUCAUGUAGCGGUGAAAUGCUUAGAUAUGACAUAGAACACCAAUUGCGAAGGCAGCUCACUACACAGUUAUUGACACUGAGGCACGAAAGCGUGGGGAUCAAACAGG
rnacentral:rRNA from 1 species